GUACAUGCUUACAACAUAGUGUUAAUGCAUUGAAUCCCAUUAUAACUCUGCAGUUAAGUACACUUGGGAUAGAGUAGUACUGGGCGGGGUGAUCACCCGAGAAGUCCUAGUAUUUUAUGUGCC
rfam:Picea glauca, whole genome shotgun sequence.